rnacentral:rRNA from 1 species
UACGGAGGAUCCGAGCGUUAUCCGGAUUUAUUGGGUUUAAAGGGUGCGCAGGCGGGAGAUUAAGUCGGCGGUGAAAUUUUGCAGCUCAACUGUAAAAGUGCCUUCGAUACUGGUUUCCUCGAGUGUGGAUGAAGUAGGCGGAAUUUGUGGUGUAGCGGUGAAAUGCAUAGAUAUCACGAGGAACUCCGAUUGCGCAGGCAGCUUACUAGGCCAUAACUGACGCUCAGGCACGAAGGCGUGGGGAUCAAACAGGAUUAGAUA